UCAGAUGCAAAGCUGUGUCACCGUGGUCAUUUCCUGCCUAAGUGUCAUCGCCUGAGAACCUGCAGUAAACCACCCUGGAAAACAGCUACGCACCUAUCCAG